rnacentral:rRNA from 1 species
UACGUAGGGGGCUAGCGUUGUCCGGAAUCAUUGGGCGUAAAGCGCGUGUAGGCGGCCCGGUAAGUCCGCUGUGAAAGUCGGGGGCUCAACCCUCGGAUGCCGGUGGAUACUGUCGGGCUCGAGUACGGAAGAGGCGAGUGGAAUUCCUGGUGUAGCGGUGGAAUGCGUAGAGAUCCGGAAGAACACCGGUGGCGAAGGCGGUCUGCUGGGGUAAUGCUGACACUGAUGCGCGACAGCGUGGGGAGCAAACAGG